rnacentral:rRNA from 1 species
AUUGAACGCUGGCGGCAUGCUUUACACAUGCAAGUCGAACGGUAACAGGCCGCAAGGUGCUGACGAGUGGCGAACGGGUGAGUAAUGCAUCGGAACGUGCCCAGUCGUGGGGGAUAACGCAGCGAAAGCUGCGCUAAUACCGCAUACGAUCUAUGGAUGAAAGCGGGGGACCGUAAGGCCUCGCGCGAUUGGAGCGGCCGAUGUCAGAUUAGGUAGUUGGUGGGGUAAAGGCUCACCAAGCCAACGAUCUGUAGCUGGUCUGAGAGGACGACCAGCCACACUGGGACUGAGACACGGCCCAGACUCCUACGGGAGGCAGCAGUGGGGAAUUUUGGACAAUGGGCGCAAGCCUGAUCCAGCAAUGCCGCGUGCAGGAAGAAGGCCUUCGGGUUGUAAACUGCUUUUGUACGGAACGAAAAGGCUCUGGAUAAUACCUGGGGCUCAUGACGGUACCGUAGAACAAGCACCGGCUAACUACGUGCCAGCCGCCGCCGUAAGAC